UACGAAGGGGGCUAGCGUUGCUCGGAAUUACUGGGCGUAAAGCGCACGUAGGCGGAUACUUAAGUCAGGGGGUGAAAUCCCGGGGCUCAACCCCGGAACUGCCUUUGAUACUGGGUAUCUCGAGUCCGGAAGAGGUGAGUGGAAUUCCGAGUGUAGAGGUGAAAUUCGUAGAUAUUCGGAGGAACACCAGUGGCGAAGGCGGCUCACUGGUCCGGUACUGACGCUGAGGUGCGAAAGCGUGGGGAGCAAACAGG
rnacentral:rRNA from 1 species